UUCAGAAUUAAGGGUUAAGCAUUAGCUAGUCUUUCAAAUCUGAAAAAAAUUCUCUUUGCUUUGGUCUGUUGAUUGUUGUUGGUGUUUCUGGAUUUUUAUCUUGAGUUUUAAAAUCCGUCACUGGUUUCUCAUUGCUGGUUGUUGCUGGUUACUGGGUGUCGCUGUUGUUGCAUGCUACUAAAUUUCUGCUAAUCUCCCUUUUCUUUUGCUUCCAAUAUCAGGUACACAACUGACACGCUAGUUAUUGUAAACUGAAACAUGAAGCAUGAAUACGAAAAAUGAAGAGUUGAAGUUCUGAAUUAUAUUCUGAAUUUUAUUUUAAUUAUAUUCUGAAUUUUAUUUGUAUAUAUAAAUUAUUUAGCUUACUCUAAUCAGAAUCAUGUAGUUGUUUAAAAUAUAUAGUGGAACAUCUGACGAUUGCUUAACGGACGAACUAUCUAUAUAUUGCCUAAAAAUAAAUAAAUGGUGUAGUAACUCCGUCUAGUUAAUUCGUUAUUGUUGGAUGAUUACCAUGUCUCAAAAAGCACGUUAGUUCAUCAAACGAAAUGACCAUUUAGGAACUUGUAGGAAUGUGGUUUAGUUAAAUACUAUUGGUUAAUUUCAGCAUGUAAAUGGUUUAGAAUUAAAAUUAGAUUGCUAAUUUUUUUUUAAUUUGACAAACUGUGAACAUGCCUAGUAUAAUGUAACUAGGUAGUAACAUGUGAAUAAGAUGGCACAGGUCUAGUUUAUGCCAUACACGUUGAGCCUGGGCCCGCAUUGGCAACGGACUACCCUGCUUGCAUUAUUUUCAAAAUUUAUGAAUCAUAUUCGAAACCCAAUUAUAACAACUCAGGCAUUUAAAUAAAUUAAGACCUUUUCUCUUUCAUUUUGUAGAGACAAUUUCAAUAGAAAAAAUGUAGGCACUUUAGGAUUAUCCUUUUAAAAUAAAUGAGAUGAGUCUCGCCCAAUAAAACCCACAAAUUACGGGGGCCUCGAUAAAUGUUUAAUUAAAAUUACUUAGACUUCGGGAUGAGUCGUUUAGCAAAAUUCCACGAUCUUACCCAGAAAUAAUAAUACGCUAAUCGCUUUAGGCGUGCAUUUUAAUAAUCUUACCUUCUUAAACUCGGGUGUGCAUUUCAUGCGACCCAAAUCCAAAUCCCAAAACAUUGAAUAAAAAUACGUUCCGGAUCGCGGGUGCAUUUCAUGUGACGCAAUCCAAAGACAUGUUUUUAAACGAUGUUCACAUUCUUUUAAAAAUAUAAUAAUAAAAGCGGUAAAGAGUUAAAAAUUUGCACAUGAACUCAUAAUUGUAUAAAAUCAGAUAAACAAACCGAAUAUGACAGUUGAGCGACCGUGCUAGAACCACGGAACUCGGGAAUGCCUAACACCUUCUCCCGGGUUAACAGAAUUCUUUAUCCAGAUUUCUGGUUCGCAAACUAUAAUACAGAGUCAUUAUUUUCCUCGAUACGAGAUUAAAUUGGUGACUUGGGACACCUUAAACCUCCCUAGUGGCGACUCUGAAUAAAUAAAUAAAUCCCGUUUCGAUUGUCCUUUAAUUGAAAAAACUCCUUCACCCCUUGCGGGGACGGAAAAAGGAGGUGUGACAUUAGAUUUUAUAAAUUGUAAUCUAAGAGAGCAAAAAGCAAGAUAAAAGGGAAUAAGGAAAAGUGGCAACGUAAAUCCCCCUUUACUUCUUUUAUCUUUAUCUUACAUGAAAUUGAUGCUUAUGAUUUGCUAAACUGUUGGUUUGGACUGGUUAAAAACUGUGUUGAAGGUGUCGAGAUGUAGAACGGAAACUUGGGAAUGAAUGGAAGGUAGUUGGGAUGGUGUGAACAGCUGAAGCAAUGUGUUAAUUGUUGCCUUAACGUUGUUUGCUUGCCAGGUCUGGUGACAGCAAGCUUAAUCGCGAUCACAGGGCAUUGGCCGCGAUGCGGCCAAGCAUGAUUCUCUGGAGCAGUGUUUCAAGUACAAAAAGAUAAUGUGAAUUGCAAGAGGUUAGUCGAGCCUAGAUUAGAAUAACACGAACCUCGAUUGCAACACAUGCACCACAAUUGUGAUUGACCUUCACUCUUUGACCCCAGACGUAGCUAACAGUUUCAUCUAUUCCAAAUAUGCUUAUCAGAUCUGAAAUGAACUUAACUAACGAUAUGGUUAGUCAAAUGAGGGCAUGAACUUAUCCAGUUCAAAAAGGAACUCAGUAUGCUAUCUGAGGGAUCCUGUGAUAUUGAACUUAUUAAGUUGUGGGAUGAGUUAGACUCUCUUAACAAUAAUUCUUAUUGCAGCUGUGAUUGUCAAUAUGAUGGAAAGGUAAAAAUGAUUAAGGACAAGGAAACUCUGAAACUUAAUCAGUUCUUAAUUGGCCUUAAUGACUCUUAUAGUGGUACCAUAAGAAACAUAACUAUGAUGAAACCUACACCUAACAUCGGUCAAACUUGUUCUCUCCUACUUCAAGAUGAAAAAUCUGAAUCCAGACUCUUUCACACCAUGUUCCUGAAUCAGCUUCUUUCUCUGCUGGUUCCUCAUCAGAAGGGCAGACAAAUCCUCCCAAAACAAAUUUCUCUGGUCCUAAAGAAGUCUAUUACUGCAAAAAACCAGGCCAUACCAUUGAUAAAUACAAUAGAUUCCAUGGUUUGAGAAUGAUUCCUUAGGGGUCGUUUGGUAAGCAGGAUAAGGUGGGAUAAGAUAUGAGAUUAAAUUAUACUGUGUUUGGUUGACGGUAUAAAUUUAUCCCGGGAUCCCUUAGUGUUUAAGAAUUUUCACAAAGUUGGUAAAUUAAUUGAGAUAUGGUGGGAUGAACAAGUCAUGGAUAGUAAAUGUACUCAACACUUCGUAAAAUGUUAAAUUUAAUUUAGAGUUAUGGGAAGAAGAUUGGAGAUUAAAUUUGGAGUAAACAAGUGCUACUUGACUAUCCGUUUUUGGAUCCAACACUGGUAUCUCUUCCUAAUUAGUAUCCAAGUCUAAUCUAAAUACUUUAUCAUGUGAUUAAGUGCUCAAUUGGAGCAUGCCUUUGUUUGAGUGUCUAAAUGAUAUAUGUACGAGCAAAUUCAAGGGGAUGUUAAUGUAUUUUGCCUUCUCUGGAGGAAUAUAUGGAUAAUCGUUCAAGUUAGUACUCCCUCUGUUUCAAUUUAGAUGACACACUUUCCUUAUUAGUCCGCUCCAAAAAAAUGAUACAUUUCUACACUUUCUUUAUUAGUCCAUUCCAUGAUAGUUCAAUUUUAGUAAGAAUUAUCUAUUUAAAAACUCAGUGAACUCCUUUACGAUUUCCUAUUUUCGAAUGUGUUCGCUUGCUGGUACUCUACUCGAUUUUCCAUCUCUCUUGUCAUCUCCGCUAACUUUUAUGAGUCACCGUCUAUUGAUUAAUUGUGACACCACUUAUGAGAAAUUCUGUGUACGUACUACCUGCAUUUUUGUAAGAGGUUGUUUCCACUGCUUUGAGCUCCUGAUCACAUAGAGACAACUUUACAAGUUAUGUCAAGGCUCCCACUAUGGGCGGGGUUCAGGGAAGAGCGGGACCACAAAGGUCUAUUGUACGUAGUCUUACACAACACUUUUGCAAGAAGUUGUUUCCACUAGUCGAAUCGGUGACCUCUUGGUCAAAUGGCAUCAACUUUACCAGUUACAUCAAGGCUCCCGCUAUGCGACGGAUCCGAGAAAGGGCGGGAUCACAAGGUCUAUUGUUGACAGUCUUACCCUACAUUUUUUGCUAGAGGCGAUUUUCAAUAUUUGAAUCUGUGACCUUUUGGUCAUGUGUCAGCAACUUUACUAGUUACGCUAAGGCUCCCCUCCUUAAUAUUUUGAUUUAAUAUGUAUAAAUAUUGUAUGACGUACCGAUGAGUUGUUUGCUUCCCCUUUCUCUUUUUCUCCUCCAUUUUCUUUUCCUCUUUCCAUGUAUGCAAUUUUCACUAGUCAAGCCAAAGUUCAAGUUUUCAUGUCUGAUGUAUAAAAGGUAGACAAACCUUUAUUAGGAGAAGUAGAAAAACAAGAACAGAAGAAACUGAAGAAAGAAGCAUAAAGCAUAUAGCAGGAAAUAAUUUACUGCAGAUAUAGCCAGAGGGAUUCAGAAAGAAAGAUCUGUGAGAGAGAAGUAAAACUGGUUGGAUAAAGACAAAUUGAAAGGCUAACAUUAAAAAAGAAGAAUCAAAUAAAGAUAACUUUUCCUAAAUAUUGAACAAAUGACAACCACAACUGAGCAUACUCAUCGAAUAUGCUUAUUUUCUAAUGAAACCAUAUUCAUAUCCCUUUGAUUCCAAGAAAAAAUAGAAAGCUUAACAGCUAGUUAUUUACAGUUAACUAAAUAGAAAGCAGUUCUCGUAAGCAAACCAGUCAAAAGGAAACAAAUGCAGUCAAACAAAAUAAUUCAAAAAAAAAACAUGACACAAGAUCUGGAAAUUAGAAAGAUAAGUAAAGUUAGAACAUGACCUCUUUAAACUUCAACCUUUCCUCAUCCAAAAAACUUGACUUUUAACAACUUGAACAAGCAGAAACGGACAAGACCAUGAACCAGCCCUCAGACGGAGUAUCGAAACUCGCCGGCAAACUCGAAAACGGACAGAACGUCAACUGUGUUAGAACGGGGCAGAAGCAGGCUGUCUAGGUUGACUUUGGUGGUCGUUUCAGCUCGUUUUCCGGUGAGCUUCUAUGAACGAAAAGAAGCAGAAACAGCGAUGGGUGAAGGGGAGCAGGCUACCGUGACUGCGACGGGGAGGGACUGCUGAAGAUGUUGGAGAACAGGGGUGGUUUCCUUUAGUGAAGACGACUGAUUUCCAGCUCUUUUCUAGGUCUCUUAGGCUUGUUUUUUUGUUCCGUUUUUUUCUGAUUUGGGGACCAAAGAAGAUCGAAAAUGAUGGUCCUCUUAUUUUUUAGUUUUUCUAUCUAUCUUUCAUGUAUGUUGCCGCUGAUUUUAGGUCCCAAGAGUUCCUUUUGCUUGUAUUCUUUUUCUUCAUUCACCAGAUCAAGGAGAUCGUUUGGGAUGGGUUCUUCAUUUUCUGAAAACGGCGCUGCCUUCUUCAGCUGCUCUCCCCUUAGGCGUUAGUCUAGGUCCCGAUAUUUGUAGUCUAGGUUUAGGUUAUUUAUUUUGCUCUUAGGUCUUUAGUUCCGUUUUAUUUAUCUUUUGUUCCUAAGAAGAGAUUAGAAGGGUCCUUAGGAUUAGCUUAAUAGGUAUUGGGUAUUGGGUUUAAGGAAUGAGUCAAGAAUUGGGCUCUAAAACUCUUAAAAU
rnacentral:lncRNA from 1 species